AGUGUAGGCGGCUUUGUAAGUUAAAUGUGAAAUCCCAUGACUUAACCAUGGAACUGCAUUUAAAACUAUAGAGCUUGAGUAUGGAAGAGGUAAGUGGAAUUCCUAGUGUAGCGGUGGAAUGCGUAGAUAUUAGGAGGAACACCAGAGGCGAAGGCGGCUUACUGGGACAUUACUGACGCUGAAACUCGAAAGCGUGGGGAGCAAACAGGAUUAGAUACCCUGGUAGUCCACGCCCUAAACGAUGGAUAUUAGACGAAGGCGGUAUCAACUCCGCCUGUGUCGUAGCUAACGCGUUAAAUAUCCCGCCUGGGGAGUACGGCCGCAAGGUUGAA
rnacentral:rRNA from 1 species